rnacentral:lncRNA from 1 species
UAUAUAUAUAUGUAUGUAUAAAUUGCACAUGCUCAAUAUAUUUUGUGUUACUUGCUUUCUAAAGGAGUGAGUGAGGGGAAGGAAGGGAAAAAAUGGAAUAAAAGGAUUUGAAAGGGUGAAUGUUGAAAAUUAUGUUUGCAUAUGUUUUAAAAGUAACAAUAUUUAACAAAGAGUUGAGGGGGUUAUGUUUAGCACUUUUGAAGACAUGCAAUGGGUUGGUGCCUCAUUGGCAAGGUCAGGGAAAUUGAAUUUACUUUAUCCCUAGGAGACACAGGUUAAAAGCAAUGGUAGAGCCAGGUGGAAUCUGUUACAUAUUUGGGAACCCAAUUGACAGUCAGCCUCCACUUGACCCAUUUCUAGGGGAAAUAAUUGAGUAGUGCUGAAGUAGCAAGAAAAAGUAGCUGAGGCUAAUUGAAUGACUGGUGCUAUCAAGUUGGGAAUUGCAUGGAUUUGGCAGGACUCUUCUCCAGAGUUUGAGACCUUUAGGUAGAAAGUGAAGUAGAUGAAAAGGAAAAAUAACAAAGCCUAUACUAUUAGGUGUCUGAGAAAAACUAGAUCAAGACCUUGAUCAGGGCUCAUGGAAGAGGCUUUCAGGUAGCCUGAAAUCUAAUCUUUAGUGUUUAGAUUGAUGGAAGAGGACACAGAUUGGAUUUUCAGAGUGAGGUUCUAAUAUUGGCCAAAGGAAUUGACAAAAAGUCAGAUGCAGCACCAAAUGAGAAAGAACAGCUAUGAUCGAUAGACACAAAAGACUGGGCGCUACAAGGAAAAUGAGAAAAAUAACCUAGAGUGUGAAGAGAACAGGGUUUGGGAACAGAGGAAAUGAAAAUGAAGAUGUGAGAAUGACCUUUGCCCAAUUUGGGCAAUGGGUGCAUGCAGGGAAUAAAGUGAAGACUUGUCCAAAGCACCCUUUUCAAAUUGUUUGGCAAUGGAUGAGAGAGAAAAGGAAAGAUUCAAAUCGGAGGCAGUUCAUCUACAGAAAUGGAUUGGUUAGGACAAUGAAAAGUGAAUGAAUGAAAGGUCUUUAUAGCAAAAGAAAGAAGGUUGAAAUUCCUCCUGGUACUAAACAGAAUUUUGACCAAUUUGACUUGGAAUGGAGAUAGAUGGGGGGAAAACAGUGUCAAGGAAGUAGAGCAAAAUGUGGGAGGAAAGGAGGGAUGGCGGAAGGUGUCCGUUUCUGUCUCAAAGUUGUGUAUGUUCUGCACAAUGAUACAAAGGAGAGUAGAAUAAGGACUUAGGCUUGAGAUCAGUACUGUGUGUAAAACCAGGCGAGAGGUGUUGUUUUGGAUAAGUACACUGUCCAGAGAUCCCCAUGAAGUAUUUGGCAGGUGCAGAAAGGAAAAUGUCAUCCAGCUGAAUGAAGGAAAUUGAAGCCUGGCUGAGCAAAGCUUCCCUUAGGCUACAUUGCCAAUGUGUGUAACACAAGAGUACCUGUAUGGGUGACUGAGGAGGGAUGGAAAAUAGGCUCCAUCAGAGGGUCGGGAAAUGAAAGGAAGCUGGGCUGAGAGCAUCUAGACCUACCCACGAGGCUUGAGCCCUAGAGUCCAAAUGCAAUAGAAUUCUUUGCAAUGGCUGCUAUAGACACUCUUGAUGAGCUCAUCAGGCAUUGUUGUGUGUCUGCUUCAAAAUAAUGACAAGUUGCUGAGAAACAAAACGCAAAGGAGUAACUGGGCAUUUGCCUUCAGGCGUGGUGGUGAGUGGACUGGCAGUUAAGGGUGUUAUUUUCGUCAACUUAUUUUGGAUUUUUUAAUCUUCUGUGAACAUACUAUCAGUUUGUGGCCAAGUAGGAGAGAGGGUUGGCAGAGCCUGCCUCAUCCAGACCUGAUAUAGGAGAGUGCGUUGAUAUAAUCCGCCUCAUCCAGACCAGGAGUGUGCCAUGGCAGAGUCGACCUCAUCUAGAGUAGAGCUCAUGAAUAUGGGGGCAAUGGAGGAGGAGAGAAACAAAACAGAAAAUAAAGAUUCAAGGCCUGCCAGGCAAUUUAACUGUAACAAGUACUGGCAAGCCUUCCUGAAGAGGUUUCACCUGGAUCCUCACUACCCAAAGAGUAAGAAAGUUGGCAGAGAACAAGAGCAAAGAAAUUUCCAAGAGAAGAUCACACAUGUUAGAGUGGCAACAGCGCCAAAUUUCUUCAGUGCCAGAGAAGUUCUAUGGAAAAUUAAAGAGGAAAACAAUAGACUUGGAAAAAAAUAAAUCAUAGGAUAAAAUCAAAGGCACAAAUCCUAAGGUUGCAGAAUUGAUUUCAAGGAUACAUUUAUAAUUUAGAACCCACAAAGUUUUAUUCAAAACCUAUUUGUGUGCUCUCUUUGGAAGACUGUUUCACAUAGUGAGAAAGGAGAUGCUAAAGUCAUAAAACAAAGGGGACUGAAGGCAAUUUUAAUGGGGAUUCUAAAAAAAAUUGCUUUUAUGAUGAAAAGCAAUGCUAUUUCCUCUUUUAAAUUAGGGGAAAAUUUUUAAAAUCAUUUUAAAAUUAUUCUUUUAUACUGGAAAUAAUAGUAUACAUAGUCACUGUUCCCCAAAAGAUUAUUACUUAAACAAAUCAUCUUUACUAGUUUCAACAAUAUGAAAAAAACAAACAAAAAACCUAGUGAAAUUCAUCACUGAAUUUAUUAGAGGGGAAAAUUAUUGAAAUAUUACAUAUUUAUAACUUGGCCAUUCUCAAAUUUAUUUCCACACCUUCACCACUGAGCCUACUCCCUUUAAUUCAAAGAUACAUUAAAUAGACACACACACAGACUUGCACAGAUACACAUAUUGCAUAUAUUCUUAUAGAAACAACAGCGUGCCCAAACCUACCAAUAUAACUGAAACUGAAAAGAAUAUACAACGUUAAGUUUCUGUAUUCCCAUAGCCUUCUCUUCAAAUUAGAGAUUCAUACUUGCUUCAUUUACUUUUCUUAGAGCUAAGAUUUUUCAAAACAGGUAAUGAGAGAAUGACAAUCUUGCAGUGUUGUUUUCAUUUCCAUUAUUCCUCUCUGCAUCUGUUCAACAAUGUUUAUUUAGGCUGCUCUGAAAUCUAUGAUUAUGUCAUUUCUGAAAGUACCAAAAUAUAGUUUCCAAAGUUACCUUUAAUUACUGCUGAUCUAAAAGCUUUUGUUCUCAGUACUUUUCUUUUUUAUUAUAUAUAUGUUUUAAAAUAUAAUACAGAAGAGAAAUAAAAGUAAUGGAGAAAAGAAAAGGAAAAAAGGCAUUAUUAUUUGCACAAGACUAUAAGAAAGGAUUCAACAUAUGUAAAAACAAGAAAUUUCCUUUUCAAGAAAAUAAAUAAAAUACAAUAUCAUUUAUUCUAAACUUUUUUCUAUUUUAUCUUUGCUUCCUUAUAGCUUGUGGGCAUCAGUUAUAAUAUAUAACUCUGAGCAUCAGUUCAAGAUAGCUCUCUUUGUACAAAAUAUCUUAUCAGCCCAAAAAAUGCAACAAGGGCUUACUAUGGAAUCCUGUCAGUAUACCUGCCUGGGGCCUACCUAGACAUGUAGUUGCUACUAGGGAUAUGACCUUUUGCUGCGAUCUGUCCCUCCCAGUACAUCCAUUUAUAUAUAUAUAAACAUAUACAUAGACACAUAUACACAUGGAUACUUUUAAUCACACACAAAUAUACAGAUAUUCAUUCAGGUUUGUCCUCUGUUUCUCUGAAGGUGGAUGAUACCAUCCUCCUUAGGUCUAAGACUUUAUUUUUGUAAAUUCACCAACUUAAUCAUAUUCUACUUCACAAUGAUAUUUGGACCAUAAACUACUUAAUUGUUUUGGAUGAUAUAAAAUAAUAAUUAAUAUGGCUGGCAACAUAAUGUAGUUCCUCUUUUUCUUUUUUGAGCCAAUCUAAUUUAACUUUCACUUUGUCUUAGAUCAGUGAUUACUAUUCUUGUUUUUUUUUUUUUUUUAAUUCUGUUCCUAAUCCUUAUGUUUGUGGAUAUCUCUAAUUUCCUAUGCCUGUGGACUCUCCUACUUUUUUUGUUAGUUUAGCUUGCUAUUACUUGACAUCCUUCCCCAAGUCCACUCAAAUCCAAAGGAGGCCUCCUUUAACUUCUGUCACCAUCCUUUAUCUUCAUCUUUAUCCCAUUAACAUUAAUGUACACAUCUUAUCCCAUUUCUCUUACACACCCUUCCACAUACCACCUUUUCCUAUUCCCUCCCCCUGAUUUCAUAAAUUCUGAAGAUUUUUUUUACCCUUCUACAUGUAUAUGUAUUGUUUCCUCUUUAACUCAUUCCCAUUGUGAAUAGAAUUUCUGACUUGCCAGCCCUUCUCUCCCAUAGGUAAUUUCACUAUAUCAGGUCUUGCUCUUCCAUCACAUCAUAUGAUAUAAUGAUUGUUUUAACCUUUUCCUACAUGGUUUUGCUUUUUAGAAUUGCAUCAUACUCACUUCUACCCCUUGAACUACUCAAUAACAACAAUCUGAGACGUGAGGUUUUAAUUUCUGAUUAUAAAAUUUAAAAAUUUGUUUUAAUUAAGUUAUUUCAAUUAUUUUAUAUUUCAUGAAUAUCAAAAUUUCUAUUAAAUUCAGACUUCUCUUUUUCCAAAAGAAGACUGAAUAUCUGACAGUUUGUUGAAUGCUUUCAUUUUUUCUUCUAUCAAGUUAUCGUGAAUUUUGCUGGACACAAUAUUUUUGCCUCAACCUUAGUUCUUUUGAUUUUUUGAUAAAUAGCAUUCCAAGACCUUUGAUCUUUUAUUGUAAUUGCUGAUAGGUUCUGGGUGAUUUUAAUUGGGGUUUCUGCAUAUUUGAAUUUUCUUGCAGCAGUUUUGUUAUUUUUUAUAUAAUUUUCUAAUAGAUCUGGGUGUUUUGAAAUGUAGCAAUGAUGUUCCUGUAGUUUUUUUUUUCAUGUUCAGUAGGUGAUUAAUUGACUUUUCCCCCCCAUUUCUAUUAUCCUCUCUUGUUCUAACACUUCAGGACAAUUUUCUUUGUUUCUUGUAGUAUUGCAUGAAGAUUUCUUUUUCAUAUACUACCUUUCAGGUACUUCAAUUAUUCUUAUGUUUCUUCAUCUGUUCUCCAUAUCUGUUGUUUUUCUUAUGAGAUGUCUCACAUUUUCAUUCUUUAUAUUUUGUUUUCUUAUUCCUUGGUCUCAUUACUUUUGUGCCUUCUUCUUGUCAGUUCUAUUUUUUCAAAGAGUUAUUAAAAGUGUGGGUCUCCUUUUCUAUUUGUUUGAAUUUUGAAUUUUGUUUCAUAAUCUUGUUUUUCUUGGAUUCUUCUUUUUUAUAUUUUAUACAUAUAUUUUAGUUUGUUCUCAAUUCUUCUCAUUUGCUUUUUAAAGUAUUUUUUGAGAUCUUAUAUGAAUUCCUCAUGGGGAUGUGAGCAUUUGACAUUACUUGGGGAAGUAGGACUUUUUUUUUUUUAUUAAACUUCAACAACCUGCACUGAAGAUAAACUUGGGUCUUUCCUAUGUAGAUAUCCCUUUCUAUGACUGAGUUCUUUCUCCUUUGUUUGUUUUGAUCUUUUGAAAUAAGAGCUUCUCUCAUCCUUUUUUUAGGAUGGGGGAUAUCUUCCAGUCUCAAGUCUUCCUUCAGUUUUCCCCUCUAGCCUGAAACACUAAACUAACAUCUCCAGCCACCUGAAAAUGCCGGCAGCCAGCAGCCGUUUUAUCUCAGUGCUUCUGCACUCAUCUAGCAGGUCCUAAUUCUUUAUCUCCCAGGGUGAAGUCUAUGUAGUACAAUUGUGCCUCCUGUUCCUUAUCAGGAGAGAGUGUCUCAAACUUUUCCACCCAGUCUAGGAAGUGAAAGUUCUUGUAGCUGGGGCUGAGACUAUAUCCCUACCCAACUUACCCCUAGGCUGGCUCCCCAAUUAUUGUUUAAGUGGAACUAUCCUUGAAAGUAUUUACAAUUCAAAGAAGGGAAAUCAUCUUCCUAGUAUCUUCAGAUCUUCUCCUAAUGAACCAGGAGGACCACUGUUCAUCCCCAGCCCCUAUUUGUGUUUCAGUUUUCACUACUCUUUGUCACCUUAGAAGUGCAGAUUUUUGUCUCUCUUUUUGUGGGGAAAACUGGGAGAGCUUAGAAUUUUCUGAGCUAUUCCACAAUCUUCCCAGAAUCCUCUUCCUUCAGUUCCUAUUGUUCUUGAUUUCUCUAUGACUUUUGACACCAUGGAUCAUCCUAAUCUCUUGGACAGACUUCCUCUUUUUAAGUUUUGGUGAUCCAGCUUCCAUCGAGGACUUCUCCUAUUUGUUUUGUUAGUCUUCUUGAGUCUUCUUUAGAUAGAAGGAUCUAUAUACAGACCUGCCCUACUCAGCAUGGAUGGCUGUGCUCCCCAAGGCUUUGUCCUCUUCUAAUUUCUCUUCUCCCUCCAUAGAAUCUUGCAUUGUAAUCUUGUAGUCAUUUCAGCUCCCAUGAGUUUAAUGAAUGCUCACUCCAUGCAAACAAUCUCUUCAAACAUUUUCAUUUCUACCAAUACAAUUUUUCUGUUAUAUCACUCUAUUCCCUCUCCACUUCGUUAUCAUAUUGGUUCAGUUCUUUCUCAUCUCAACCCUAGUUGAUUGCAAAGGUCUCUACCUUCCUAAAAUCUUUCUCCACUCCACUCAAUUCUACCCUCACCUGUCAUAAUGAUUGUUUGAAAAAACAGAUCUGACCAUCGUUUGGCCCUAUUCUUUCUAAUCUGGAAUCUCCUCCAUAAAGUAGAUAAUGCUAACCUUAAUAGUCCCUCACCACCUUAGCCCUUUCUCAUUUUUCUACAUGUCUACUGCAUUUUCUUCGACAUGAUGUCUACUGCCUUCCAAAUCCAGAGAGCCAGGGGCUUCUUGCUCUUCUCAAAUGCUACCAUGUCAACUCCAUGCAUUGUCAAUCCUUUGUUCUCUCUGACUGUAAUGUUUCUCUCUCCAUCUCUUCCAUCAUAUUUUCACAUUUUACAAGACUCAAAUUCUAUCUUCUGAAAAGGUACUUUGGUAGUGAGUCUUCCUUAUCCAUACUCAAUGUGUGACUAAUAUUUUUCCUCUGAGAUUGUUUUGCACUUAUGUUCUAUGUAUCUUCUGCAUAUAGUUCUUGAGUUGCUGUUUUCUAAUUCAAUGGGUACUCUCUGAAGAGUAAUCUACUAUAUUUUCUCAAUUCAUUCUAUGUUCAAAGUUAAGCAAAGUUGCUGAGACAAAAUUAAUUCUUUUUGACUAUCUCAAUAUAAUAUCACCAUUUGGUUUAAUUGCCAUUUCCCUUCUUAUUCAUGAUAUAGCAUCCUUUUUCUUUAAUGGUGUUUAAAUCUUUUUUGGAAAGCCAUUUGUUUAUAAUGUAAUUGAAUAAUUCACUAUGGGUGGGCAAAAGGAUGAUGGGGAAGAACUAAAUCUUUUCAGUUUCUAUUCAUUCUUUAAAAAUCCUGAAUAAUUGUGUUUGUAAUUGAGAGCAUGAUCAUAAAAAUUUGUUCCUAAUGUUUUUCCUCUUUUAAGCUGCAUUGAUUUGCUUCUUAUAAAAGUUUGCUGAUAUGCAGUGUAAUUUAAAUGAUAUUUUUCUUUAAGUAUGGCCUUUACAGUUUUUGAGAGUAUAUCCUGUCCCUAUCCCCAAAAAUCGUAUCACAGAAAGGAACUCCUAUUUUAAAUGAGAACUUAUUAGUCUUUUCUUAUACUAAAUCUAGUUGUAUAUCCAGAAUUUAUCCUGGUUAAUUGUGCAUGAGACUAUUCUAAACUUACUUUGUGCCUGUUUUGCAAUUUUUCUAGGGCAUAGAAUUCUUUUCCCACUUUUCCUGUAUUUCAGAUUACUUGCAUAAUAGAUUUUUGCAUUUAUUUGCUUCUAAGCUCUUAGUUAUCCAGACAUUUCCAAUCAUUUUUCUUUCUUUUCUUUGCCUUUUAUAAGUCUUACCAAAGAAUUUUGAUUGAGACUGUUUUGUUGUUGGUGGUGUGGUGGUGGUUUUGGAUGUACUUUACCAUUUAAUAAUAGUGGAAUCCUUUGGAAACUUAUUUUUUUAAAUAAAUUUUUAUAGCUCAAAUUAUACUAAUGUUUUAAUUUUCAAGUCUUAGGCUUUUUCUCAGUCUUUCUAGUUCCUGGACAUUCUAUUCCUUUUUAUGAAGUAGCCUUUUCCUUCUGUAUACCAAUUUUCUCCACCCUCUAUCUUCCUGAUACUACUUUCUCCUGGUACCUCUUGUGCUGAGUAAUGUAGACACUUCCCAUUUCUUUCUGGUGGAUCAACUUCCAUUUCUCACUGAAUAAGACUGAGUGACUAAUAGCAAUUCAUCACCUAUAAAACUAUACUCUUUCCCUCCUCAAUAUCAUCAGGUCCCUUUG